rnacentral:rRNA from 1 species
UACAGAGGGGGCAAGCGUUGUUCGGAAUUACUGGGCGUAAAGGGCGCGUAGGUGGCCUUCUAAGUCGAACGUGAAAUCCCUGGGCUCAACCCAGGAACUGCGUCCGAGACUGGGAGGCUUGAAUCCGGGAGAGGGAUGCGGAAUUCCAGGUGUAGCGGUGAAAUGCGUAGAUAUCUGGAGGAACACCGGUGGCGAAGGCGGCAUCCUGGACCGGUAUUGACACUGAGGAGCGAAAGCAUGGGGAGCGAACAGG